AACGAACGCUGGCGGCAUGCCUAACACAUGCAAGUCGAACGACACCUUCGGGUCUAGUGGCGCACGGGUGCGUAACGCGUGGGAACCGGCCCUUAGGUUCGGAAUAACUCCCCGAAAGGGGUGCUAAUACCGGAUAAUGUCUUCGGACCAAAGAUUUAUCGCCUUUGGAUGGGCCCGCGUUGGAUUAGCUAGUUGGUAGGGUAAAAGCCUAUCAAGGCGACGAUCCAUAGCUGGUCUGAGAGGAUGAUCAGCCACACUGGGACUGAGACACGGCCCAGACUCCUACGCGAGGCAGCAGUGGGGAAUAUUGGACAAUGGGCGAAAGGCUGAUCCAGCAAUGCCGCGUGAGUGAUGAAGGUCUUAGGGUUGUAAAGCUCUUUUACCCGGGAUGAUAAUGACAGUACCGGGAGAAUAAGCACCGGCUAACUCCGUG
rnacentral:rRNA from 1 species